rnacentral:rRNA from 1 species
GACGAACGCUGGCGGCGCGCCUAACACAUGCAAGUCGAACGGAGUGUGUCGAAAGCUUGUCUGUUAUAUACACUUAGUGGCGGAACGGGGUGAGUAACACGUGAGGUAACCUGCCCUCUACGAGGGACUAGGAAUAACGUUUAGGAACGCGAACGACUAACUACCGCAUAACCGUCGAGAAGAGGGCAUCCUCUUUUACCAAAGAGUUUAAGUACGGCUGACGACGUAUAGGGCUCGGCCGGCCGACGUUACGGUAGUUUGGUGAGGUAGUUAACGAGGACCCGACCCAACGACCGGACGAUCGGUAGCCGGACGUCGAGAGGUUGAUCGGGCCACAUUGGGACUGAGACACGGCCCAG